rnacentral:rRNA from 1 species
AUUGAACGCUGGCGGCAGGCCUAACACAUGCAAGUCGAGCGAGCGGCGGACGGGUGAGUAAUGUCUGGGAAACUGCCCGCUGGAGGGGGAUAACUACUGGAAACGGUAGCUAAUACCGCAUACCAUCAGAUGUGCCCAGAUGGGAUUAGUUAGUGGGUGGGGUAACGGCUCACCUAGGCGACGAGCCCUAGCUGGUCUGAGAGGAUGACCAGCCAAACUGGAACGGGGACACGGUCCGGACUCCUACGGGAGGAAGCAGUGGGGAAUAUUGGACAAUGGGCGCAGGCCUGAUGCAGCCAUGCCGCGUGUGUGAAGAAGGCCUUCGGGUUGUAAAGCACUUUCAGCGGGGAGGCGUUACCCGCAGAAGAAGCACCGGCUAACUCCGUGCCAGCCGCCGCGGUAAUUC